AUUAUUUUCCUAGUACGGCGAGUGAAGAGGAAGAGCUCAAAGUUGGAAACUGUUUGGCUUAGCUAAACCGYAUUKUAAACUGUAGAAACAUUUUCCUGGCACGCCGGAUUAAUAAGUCCUUUGGAACAAGGCAUCAUGGAGGGUGAGAAUCCCGUCUUUGAUCCGAGUAGUUGUCUUUUGUGAUAUGUUUUCAAAGAGUCAGGUUGUUUGGGAAUGCAGCCUAAAUUGGGUGGUAAAUCUCACCUAAAGCUAAAUAUUUGCGAGAGACCGAUAGCGAACAAGUACCGUGAGGGAAAGAUGAAAAGAACUUUGAAAAGAGAGUUAAACAGUAUGUGAAAUUGUUAAAAGGGAACCGUUUGGAGCCAGACUGGUUUGACUGUAAUCAACCUAGAAUUCGUUCUGGGUGCACUUGCAGUCUAUACCUGCCAACAACAGUUUGAUUUGGAGGAAAAAAUUAGYAGGAAUGUAGCCUCUCGAGGUGUUAUAGCCURCUAUCAUACUCUGGAUUGGACUGAGGAACGCAGCGAAUGCCWUUAGGCGAGAUUGCUGGGUGCUUUCGCUAAUAAAUGUUAGAAUUUCUGCUUCGGGUGGUGCUAAUGUUUAAAGGAGGAACACAUCUAGUAUAUUUUUUAUUCGCUUAGGUUGUUGGCUUAAUGACUCUAAAUGACC
rnacentral:rRNA from 1 species